rnacentral:rRNA from 1 species
CAAUAGCGUAUAUUUAAGUUGUUGCAGUUAAAAAGCUCGUAGUUGGAUUUCGGGUGGGACGCAGCGAUCUCGCAUUGCGUUUGUACUGCUGCAGCCCUCCUUCUUGCCGGGGGCGGCCUCUCGGACUUCACUGUCUGGGGGUCAGAAUCGGCGAUGUUACUUUGAGUAAAUUAGAGUGUUCAAAGCAAGCUUACGCUCUGAAUAUAAUAGCAUGGGAUAACACGACAGGACUCUGGCCUAUCGUGUUGGUCUAUAGGACCAGAGUAAUGAUUAAGAGGGACAGUCGGGGGCAUUCGUAUUCCGUUGUCAGAGGUGAAAUUCUUGGAUUUACGGAAGACGAACAUCUGCGAAAGCAUUUGCCAAGGAUGUUUUCAUUGA